CUACGGGCUGCAGCAGGCGCGAAACCUUUACAAUGCACGCAAGUGUGAUAAGGGGAUCCUAAGUGCUCAUGUUUAACAUGGGCUUUUGUUAAGAGUAAAUAUCUUGGCGAAUAAGUGGUGGGUAAGACUGGUGCCAGCCGCCGCGGUAACACCAGCGCCACGAGUGGCAACCGCGUUUAUUGGGCCUAAAGCGUCCGUAGCCGGUUUGGUAAAUCUUCAGUGAAAUCGUCAGGCUUAACUUGACGGCGUGCUGGAGACACUGCCAAACUAGAGACCGGGAGGAGUCAGAGGUAUUCCUGAGGGAGCGGUAAAAUGCGAUAAUCUCAGGAGGACCAUCUAUGGCGAAGGCAUCUGACCAGAACGGAUCUGACGGUGAGGGACGAAGGCCAGGGGAGCGAUCCGGAUUAGAUACCCUGGUAGUC
rnacentral:rRNA from 1 species